UGGGCUUGACAUGUCCGGAACUCUGCAGAGAUGCGGGAGCGCCCUUCGGGGAAUCGGAACAC
rnacentral:rRNA from 1 species